rnacentral:rRNA from 1 species
GCUUAUCACCAUUCCAGAUUGAAUAUACCCGAUCUCGUCUGGUCUCGGAAGUCAAGCAAUCUCGGGCUUGGUUAGUACUUGGAUGGGUGACCGCUUGGGAAUACCAAGUGUGAUAAACA